rnacentral:rRNA from 1 species
UACGUAGGUGGCAAGCGUUGUCCGGAAUUAUUGGGCGUAAAGCGCGCGCAGGCGGUCUCUUAAGUCUGAUGUGAAAUCUCGCGGCUCAACCGUGAGCGGUCAUUGGAAACUGGGAGACUUGAGUGCAGAAGAGAAGAGCGGAAUUCCACGUGUAGCGGUGAAAUGCGUAGAGAUGUGGAGGAACACCAGUGGCGAAGGCGGCUCUUUGGUCUGUAACUGACGCUGAGGCGCGAAAGCGUGGGGAGCGAACAGG